UACAGAGGGUGCGAGCGUUAAUCGGAAUCACUGGGCGUAAAGGGUGCGUAGGUGGUCAAAUAAGUCAGAUGUGAAAUCCCUGGGCUCAACCUAGGCAUUGCAUUUGGUACUGUUUGGCUAGAGUGCAGUAGAGGAAUGUGGAAUUUCCGGUGUAGCGGUGAAAUGCGUAGAUAUCGGAAGGAACAUCAGUGGCGAAGGCGACAUUCUGGACUGUAACUGACACUGAGGCACGAAAGCGUGGGGAGCGAACAGG
rnacentral:rRNA from 2 species